AACAAAGUAGUGCAAAGAUGAGUAGGUUAGCGCAUCAUUUCAAGAGAGUCAUCAGCUGGUGCGAGAUGAUAGUGGUGGCUAGUCGAAGAUGGUCUUAAAUGCAGUUAUCACGGUCGAGCAUUGUGUGAGACAGUGACGGGAACUCCCGUUAUAGAGUCAGGGUAUGCACAAACAGUAAGUACUUGGGAGUACCCACAGAGGAAUGACCCACGAGGGUUAUUUAAACUAAGGUGGUAACACGGAAAAGCACUUCCGUCCUUGUC
rnacentral:ncRNA from 1 species